GACGAACGCUGGCGGCGUGCUUAACACAUGCAAGUCGAACGGAAAGGCCCUGCUUUUGUGGGGUGCUCGAGUGGCGAACGGGUGAGUAACACGUGAGUAACCUGCCCUUGACUUUGGGAUAACUUCAGGAAACUGGGGCUAAUACCGGAUAGGAGCUCCUGCUGCAUGGUGGGGGUUGGAAAGUUUCGGCGGUUGGGGAUGGACUAGCGGCUUAUCAGCUUGUUGGUGGGGUAGUGGCUUACCAAGGCUUUGACGGGUAGCCGGCCUGAGAGGGUGACCGGCCACAGUGGGACUGAGAUACGGCCCAGACUCCUACGGGAGGCAGCAGUGGGGAAUAUUGCACAAUGGGCGGAAGCCUGAUGCAGCAACGCCGCGUGCGGGAUGACGGCCUUCGGGUUGUAAACCGCUUUCGCCUGUGACGAAGCGUGAGUGACGGUAAUGGGUAAAGAAGCACCGGCUAACUACGUG
rnacentral:rRNA from 1 species